ACGUAGGUUGCGAGCGUUGUCCGGAUUUACUGGGUGUAAAGGGCGUGUAGGCGGAGAUGCAAGUUGGGAGUGAAAUCCAUGGGCUCAACCCAUGAACUGCUUCCAAAACUGUAUCCCUUGAGUAUCGGAGAGGCAAGCGGAAUUCCUAGUGUAGCGGUGAAAUGCGUAGAUAUUAGGAGGAACACCAGUGGCGAAGGCGGCUUGCUGGACGACAACUGACGCUGAGGCGCGAAAGCGUGGGGAGCAAACAG
rnacentral:rRNA from 1 species